AACGAACGCUGGCGGCAUGCCUAACACAUGCCAGUCGAACGAGACCUUCGGGUCUAGUGGCGCACGGGUGCGUAACGCGUGGGAACCUGCCCUUAGGUUCGGAAUAACUCCCCGAAAGGGGUGCUAAUACCGGAUAAUGUCUUCGGACCAAAGAUUUAUCGCCUUUGGAUGGGCCCGCGUUGGAUUAGCUAGUUGGUAGGGUAAAAGCCUACCAAGGCGACGAUCCAUAGCUGGUCUGAGAGGAUGAUCAGCCACACUGGGACUGAGACACGGCCCAGACUGCUACGGGAGGCAGCAGUGGGGAAUAUUGGACAAUGGGCGAAAGCCUGAUCCAGCAAUGCCGCGUGAGUGAUGAAGGCCUUAGGGUUGUAAAGCUCUUUUACCCGGGAUGAUAAUGACAGUACCGGGAGAAUAAGCUCCGGCUAACUCCGUG
rnacentral:rRNA from 1 species